rnacentral:rRNA from 1 species
GAUGAACGCUAGCGGCAGGCUUAAUACAUGCAAGUCGAGGGGCAGCAUGACUGUAGCAAUACAGUUGAUGGCGACCGGCAAACGGGUGCGGAACACGUACAGAACCUUCCUUCGAGCGGGGAUAGCCCAGAGAAAUUUGGAUUAAUACCCCAUAGUAUUACGAAGUGGCAUCACUUUGUAAUUAAAGAUUUAUCACUUGAAGAUGGCUGUGCGGCUGAUUAGGUAGUUGGCGGGGUAACGGCCCACCAAGCCUACGAUCAGUAACUGGUGUGAGAGCACGACCAGUCACACGGGCACUGAGACACGGGCCCGAGUCCUACGGGAGGCAGCAGUAAGGAAUAUUGGUCAAUGGACGAAAGUCUGAACCAGCCAUGCCGCGUGGAGGAUGAAGGUCCUCUGGAUUGUAAACUUCUUUUAUAUGGGACGAAAAAAGGCUUUUCUAAGUCGUCUGACGGUACCAUAUGAAUAAGCACCGGCUAACUCCGUGCCAGCAGCCGCCGUAAUAC